GCUAGGUGUGGUGGUGCGUGCCUGUAGUCCUAGCUACUUGGGAGGCUGAGACAAGAGGAUUGCUUGAGCUCAGGAGUUCGAGUCUGCAGUGAGUCAUGAUCACACCACUGCACUCCAGCCUGGGUGACAGAGAGAGAGCUUGUCUCAA
rnacentral:SRP_RNA from 1 species